GGAGAGGAAGGAAGAAGAGGUGUUAGUUGUCAACUAACAUGAUGUCAUGAUGGAUUAACUGACCAACUGACUGACUC